rnacentral:sRNA from 1 species
AUGCACACAACAAAAUUUUCUGACACAUCUUAACAAGCUUCCAAAAAGAGAAAAAGGUGUUGGAGUUGGAGAUCCGGUUUAACUGGUUUGGUUUACAAACUUGGCUACAAAGUUGCGUGAAGAGGAAGUUGGCGUUAAAUCAGGAAUGUAUAUCAGAGUUACUCCAUAAAAUCUGUAUUGUUAAUAUUGUUUCUUCUCACCUCCACUGUCGGGUUCGGGUUCGGGUUCGCUGCCAUCGUCACUCUUCGUUUCAAAAGAAAAU